rnacentral:misc_RNA from 1 species
AAGUCGUAACAAGGUUUCCGUAGGUGAACAGGCAGAGGAAUGCCAGGUCAAUUGCCUCGCGCUACUGUACACCCUUCCCAGAGGUCCCUGAAUCAAAACUGUUCGGCGAUGAUUUACCAGGGAUUGCCGGUUUAUGACGGGGUGUACGAGCACAAUGAAGGUUCACAGGGGGUUUAACGUUGGAUACGUGUUAAUGAUCCUUCCGCAGGUUAGUGUCUGAAAGUGUCACUAACUAUGUACGGAUGGCGCAGUAACGAUCGCUGGAGGCCGACACGGCCGGCGACCAGGUCACUGGGCUACGGCCCCCCUGACCACAACCUUUGCAUGAAAACGGGCCUGCGCUGAGGUGCGGCCACCCCUAAUGCUUGAACAACUGUUAACAAUGGAUAUCUUGGUUCUC